AAUCAUUGCAUACAGGAUAGUGCUGAGAGACGUGCUGUCCGAGUGGAUCGGUCAUAGGACGCAACCGACUUUAAACUUACAACAAAAGGUGCAGUUUUAGGAUGUUACCAUGUUGCUGAAGGUGAAAUACCACAGUAUCAAGAAGUACAUCAAAUUGCAAUCAGGCUCCACCUAUUCAGAAUUCAUCAGGGAAGUCAAAACCAAGUUUGGGCUUCCUGACGCAGCACA